AGUGAACGCUGGCGGCAGGCCUAAUACAUGCAAGUCGAACGGCAGCACAGCAGAGCUUGCUCUGUGGGUGGCGAGUGGCGGACGGGUGAGGAAUACAUGGGAAUCUGCCCAGUCGUGGGGGAUAACGUAGGGAAACUUACGCUAAUACCGCAUGCGCCCUUCGGGGGAAAGCCGGGGACCUUCGGGCCUGGCGCGAUUGGAUGAGCCCAUGUCGGAUUAGCUAGUUGGCGGGGUAAAGGCCCACCAAGGCGACGAUCCGUAGCUGGUCUGAGAGGAUGAUCAGCCACACUGGAACUGAGACACGGGUCCAGACUCCUACGGGAGGCAGCAGUAGGGAAUAUUGGACAAUGGGCGCAAGCCUGAUCCAGCCAUGCCGCGUGAGUGAAGAAGGCCCUCGGGUUGUAAAGCUCUUUUGUCCGGAAAGAAAGCGCCGGGUUAAUACCCUGGUGUCCUGACGGUACCGGAAGAAUAAGCACCGGCUAACUUCGUGCCAGCAGCCG
rnacentral:rRNA from 1 species